rnacentral:rRNA from 1 species
UACAGAGGUCUCAAGCGUUUGUUCGGAUUCAUUGGGCGUAAAGGGUGUGUAGGUGGCGCGCUAAGUCGGGUGUGAAAUUUCGGAGCUUUAACUCCGAAACUGCAUUCGAUACUGCCGUGCUUGAGGACUGGAGAGGAGACUGGAAUUUACGGUGUAGCGGUGAAAUGCGUAGAUAUCGUAAGGAAGACCAGUGGCGAAGGCGGGUCUCUGGACAGUUCCUGACGCUGAGGCACGAAGGUCAGGGGGAGCAAACGGGG